rnacentral:lncRNA from 1 species
ACCACAUCAAACAAUGAAGCAUCAACCAAAACCACUACCUGCUUAAAGUGAGGGCAAGUUCUAUCUUAAACAAGUCUUAUAGCAAGCAACCAAGGCAAAGUAAUAGGAUCCGCACAAAAUCAUCUUGAAAUUUUACACUUUCAAGCUGACAACUUGAAGAAACAUUAAUCCCAUAUUUUUAAAAACCUUCUCAGAAAUUUUCAGCAGUAAAAAUAAACAAACAGCUCUGCUCUAAACUUUAACACCUUUCCCUAAAACCCAAACAGAACAGUGGUACAGCUGUCAAUAAAAUCCAGCAGGAAAAAUGAACAAGUAAAGAAGCAGGGCCGGGUGUGGUGGCUCAUGCCUGUAAUCCCAGCACUUUGGGCAGCCACGACGGGCAGAUCACCUGAGGUCGGGAGUU